GUGGGCUGCUUGUCUUGUCUGAGGUGUGGCUCUGCCUUGCCAUUUUCCCAGAGGAAGGUCGGCCAGUGUGCCAGAAGCAAUCUCUUGGAUGCCAGACCACCGCCUUCCCAACCACGCCACGACUUGCACUCUUCUAACAUGCUCGACUAGAAUAACUACCCGGGAAAUACACUGCACAAUGUGAGAAAACUGUCGCCUUUCUUUUAACGUCUGUCCCAGAGGAACACCCACACGCGCCUCCACACACUCAUGCCAACGGCCUUCCCAGUCUUCCCCAGGGUGGAAGACGACUUCCUUAAAACUCGCCUCAGCUUGGUCUUCCCCUCCCAUCCCACGCGUCGCAAAGCAAGGAAGGCAUCAAACCUUGGAGUGAUGGCACUAUGAACACGUUCGUAUGUAUGAGAUUCCCUUCCAAUCCUUCCGGCGCCCCCUCAUUGCGUCCUUCACCAACCUAAAGGAAUAUCAAUGGAGAAACUCGUAAAGAAAAAAAUGUUGGGUGCAUUUCCUGGAACGUCCGCUGAUGACCUUACUCCACUCGAGCCACACUAUAAAAGGUGGACGGCUCUUCCCAGACACAACAGACGCAGCUUUUCCACUCAGAACAGCUGAACACUUUCCCACUCGGCAUCAUGCGAGCUCUGACCCUCCUGCUAGUGGUGGCCGUGGCCCUGACGGCGCUGGUGGUGGUGCAGGCCAUGCCAGAGCCCUUCCCCGACCCUGAGGCCCUCGCCGAUCCUGAUCCUUCUGCGAGCUUUGGCCGCGGAGGUGGAUAUGGUUUCGGACAUGGAUAUGGCUAUGGAGGCUAUGGUCGCGGUUAUGGCUACCGUGGUCGUGGUUAUUACAGGUAACGUCCUGGGCACCGAUAUCAUGGUGGGCGAGACGGUGCCAGGUACACAGUGGCAUCGCCGACCCUCAGCUUCCUGCCACAAGAGCGCCUUCACAAGUAAUUUUCUGCCUCGAAUCCGAUCAUACUUUUAAAGUAUCACUUUGUCACGAAACUGUAUACUCCUAGUAUAUCUCCCUGGAAAUAAAAAUAAAGUAUUGCAAAUA